rnacentral:rRNA from 1 species
GACGAACGCUGGCGGCGUGCUUAACACAUGCAAGUCGAACGGAAAGGCCCUGCUUUUGUGGGGUGCUCGAGUGGCGAACGGGUGAGUAACACGUGAGUAACCUGCCCUUGACUUUGGGAUAACUUCAGGAAACCGGGGCUAAUACCGGAUAGGAGCUCCUGCUGCAUGGUGGGGGUUGGAAAGUUUCGGCGGUUGGGGAUGGACUCGCGGCUUAUCAGCUUGUUGGUGGGGUAGUGGCUUACCAAGGCUUUGACGGGUAGCCGGCCUGAGAGGGUGACCGGCCACAUUGGGACUGAGAUACGGACCAGACUCCUACGGGAGGCAGCAGUGGGGAAUAUUGCACAAUGGGCGGAAGCCUGAUGCAGCAACGCCGCGUGCGGGAUGACGGCCUUCGGGUUGUAAACCGCUUUCGCCUGUGACGAAGCGUGAGUGACGGUAAUGGGUAAAGAAGCACCGGCUAACUACGUG